GCGUCAGUGGUUUAGUGGUAAAAUCCAUCGUUGCCAUGUAAUGUCAAUUCGAUGGGCCCCGCGUUCGAUUCGCGGCUGACGCA